rnacentral:lncRNA from 1 species
UGAAGUUUCACCACCACCUCCAGCACCAAUACCAGUGAAGUUUUCUCCCCCACCCACAAACAAUCAACAUCACCCACCAGCCCCACCAGAAGGGCCAGUAAAUCCAAACCCAAGUCCUAAUCCACCGUCAGGGAGCGGUGAAGUUUCACCACCACCUCCAGCACCAGUAAUGUUUUUUCCACCAUCAUCACCAGGAGGGCCGACGAAUCCUCACCCAAGUCCUAAUCCACCCUCAGGUAGUGGCAGUGAAAUUUCACCACCACCUCCAGCACCAGUAAAGUUUCUUCCACCAUCCUCACCAGGAGGGACGACGAAUCCUCACCCAAGUCCAAAUCCACCUUCAGGUAGCAGCAGUGAAGUUUCACCACCACCUCCAGCACCAAUAAAGUUUCUUCCACCAUCCUCACCCGGAAGGCCGGCGAAUCCUCACCCAAGUCCUAAUCCACCUUCAGGGAGCGGCAGUGAAGUUUCACCACCACCUCCAGCACCCGUAAAAUUUCUUCCACCAUCCACGCCAGAAGGGCCAAUUAAUCCUCAACCAAAUCCAAAUCCAC